GUGGCUUAAUUUGACUCAACGCGGGAAAUCUUACCGGGUCCGGACACACUGAGGAUUGACAGGCAAUAUCUAAAUCGUUUAUAAUUCCUAUUAUAAUACGCUUUUAGUGUUAAAUAUGCUAGUCCUUUCAUGAUUAUGUGAUAGGUGGUGCAUGGCCGUUCUUAGUUCGUGGAGUGAUCUGUCUGCUUAAUUGCGUUUCACUAAGGGCCCAUAAAUUCAAGGUAUGUUAGCUAUCGUUUCUCAAUUGACCCCUUGUCUUCGAUAAGCGCGUGUCUUUUAGAGUUUAAACAUUGCGCAUGCUGUUGGGUCCUGAAAGCAACGAACGUGACCGCAACGUCUUAUUGCCUUUAUCUUGCUAUAUUUUAAUUUAAUUAAAAAUAGCUAACAGAGGCUAAUUUAAAAUUAGACGGACCGCUGUACUUUUCUUAAACCAGAGGAAGGUUGCGGCAAUAACAGGUCUG
rnacentral:rRNA from 1 species